UUUUUUCCUUUUUUUUCCGACUUGUUUCGGCUCCUGUCGCUACCACUCGGCAAUUGAAUGGUUUUCUCGGCUUUUUCCGGAUAAAAAACGACUAGAAACCCGUUUUUUGCGUUGCUAUAAUGAUGUCGGACCCAGUCCGACAAAGGACCUGAGAGGAAUAAUUGCAAUGUCGGACCCAGUCCGACAAUGGACCGCAAAGGGUUAAACUAAAAAAUACAUUCAGGUAGAAUAAUGAGAAUGGGCUUGCAAGUUGUAACACUAUACUAAUGAUUUGUAGCAUUGUUUUGUUUAAGCUUCAUUUCACGGGGUGAGAGCCGGGGCUGGAGUAAAAGGUUGUUACUUGGAGAGGAUUUGAGGAGUGGCCUCAGGAUAAGAGAGGAAAGGAAAGAGGUUCCCGACCGGCGGGAGACUUCUUGGCCAGAGGAGAGAGAGCAGCCUCGAAAGCAGGCUGUUCAGCAGCCUCGGGAAUCAGAAAACACACGAGAUAGAUUGGCUUUGCGGAUCGGCAGUAGUGUAGGAGGAAUAGGCUCUUGCGCUGAAGAACCUGGAAAAGGAAUGAUAGAAUAGGGAGCUGGAAAUAGAGCCCAGUCUCAAUUUGAGGAAGAUAGAGAGCAGGAGCUGCUAAAGGAUAGUGUGUGGCCGGGGGUCCCCUCUGACUCACGUGGUGAUAACCCCCCCUUGGUGGAGGCGCGGAUGGCAGCGGCCAUAGAGGCCAGGGAAGUGAGCCUCACUUACCCCCAAAGGUUGGACCCCCGGCACCCUGCAUAACCCCAUACCCGUGGGGCAAACAACAGUGCGUAACAUACUAGACAAACAAGAUGGAAUAGUUUUUUUUUUGUUUUUGUUUUUGUUUUGGACAAAAGAAUGGGUAGCAUGAAAUUAUGUGUUUACCUUCCACACAGUGGAGAGGAACCCCCUCCCCCCCUCCUUUAGGGGGAAAACCUCUGGUGGACCCGGCGGAUCAGGUAACCCCUACUCCAGGCAUGCUAACAAUUUUUUUGUGAGCUGCAGCUAUAUCGGAAACAGAUGUGCGUAUGUAUGAUUCUACUGCUGAGCAGGACCAGCGCCCUAGGCUCUUAAUUAGAUGCUGAUUGAUGUUGGUUUUGCUGUAAUUCUAAAGGAGUGAGGAGUGUUAAACUGAGGAGAAAGGCCUGCUUUGGAGUUGACAGAGGCAAGAUGAGUUGAGAACCAAUGUCUUGUAACUACUGCACAGGAGGAGCUGGUGAACAGUAGAUCCAUCAUAAGGAAAGGCUUCUUGCUGUAGGUGUAUCUAGACAUGGAGGUGUAGGGACAUAAAGGAGAAUUAAAUCUUCGACAGCUGUAUAAAUUGACGCUGAUGAAGUUGAUCUGUCUUAGAGAUGCAGAGCAUAAUUAGGAAAUGAGAAUCUGGAACUAAGAUGUCGUUGGAACGGAUGCCGAGAGAAGGGAAGCUGGAAAGGGAUGGGACUGUAUAUUCGGAGCAUCUGAGGAAUCCAAAGAAAGCAGUUAAGCACGUGACUUCCAUGAGGAGAUCGAAGGGGUUGAAACGGCCUUUUUGCAAGAUUGAUAUGAGCGACUGUAGAAUAUCCGAAGAUAUAGGAAGUCGGGAGGGGGGAGCUCUUAGACAUGCCAUGGAGCGUCAGGCGGAUUGCUGGAAUGGCCAGAAGAAUCGGAGAGGACACUGACAUUAGACGGAAUACUAGGUACUGGUAUUGCAGAACUUGGAGAGGUGCUGGAGGUGCUGUGGGAAACAACUGCUGAAAUCUGGCAAUCUGUAGGCAAGAAAGAGCAUCAGCUGCAUUAUUAUGUGAACGGGGAAUGUAACGGGCUUGAAUGAAGAAAUUAAAAGACACUGAAAUCCAAAUGAUGCGAUGUAGUAACUGCAUUAUAAGGGGAGAGGAAGAUCUUCCUUUAUUGAUGAUAUGGACUGUAGAUUUAUUGUCGCUAAAGAACGUGAUAGAUCUUCUUGACCAUUGGUGGCCCAUUGGUAUGAGCAGCUGCGACGAUGGGAUACAGUUACAGAAGAGCUGCAGCUUUGAGGUGGGGAGAAAGUGUCUGAAUUUCGGGGGGGGGGGGGCAUUUGCUAGAGAACCAUUCAGUCCCUAGGUAACCCCCGAAUCCUAAGAAUGAAGCGUCAGUAAAGACAUUCAAAUCAUGAGGAGCUGCAAUCAGGUCUUCAUAGAAUAGGAACAGGCUGUUCCAGUGGCGAAUUAAAGUAGCCCACAUCUUAAUAUCCUUUCUUGCUUCGUUGAGAGCCGAGAUCUCAUUGUGAGAUAUGAGCAAAUUUAAGGACAUGGUUUCCAUACCUGACUGGCAGCUCACAUCGAAUGAAAUAUGAACCUGAUUUGAAAAUACAUGACUUUUGCAGUGACAAAAUGGUUAUCUGCUGAUAAGAUGGUGGUGGCUUUAGUGGAGAAUGCUUUAUGGUACUCGUAGAACAUAGUACCUCUGAAUCUAACUGAGCGCUCCACGAUGUAGAAUAAAGUAUUGAUCCAGCUCUUGGUGGCGGUGUGGAAGUUAAUGUUGCAUGACUUGAGUGUAACAUUGAUAUCUUUACCUUCAAUUAUUUAUUUUCUGAUUUUAAGAGAGAGAGAGAGAGAGUGACGCCUGAUAGAAGGGGCUGUUGAAAUCACAGGCGGCUCGUCAGUACAGGCAAGUGAGGCAUGGCCUGCUGAGCAUCGUCUAUCUGACUAUGAAAACAUUUUGCAUAUUCUUUAUAUAUUAAUUAUUCAUUAAAAUAUAUAUUAAAUACAUAUUUUAGGACAGUUAAGCAUGUAUAUAAGUAAGUUAUGUAUAUAACUGGAGGUGUGGUCCAGUGGUUAAAGAAAAGGGCUUGUAAAAGGAGGUCCCCAGUUCAAAUCCCAUCUCAGCCACUGACUCAUUGUGUGACCUUGAGCAAGUCACUUAACCUUGUGUUCCGUCUCUCGGAUGAGACGUAAUUGUAAGUGAUUCUGCAGCUGAUGCAUAGUUCACACACCCUAGUCUCUGUAAGUCGCCUUGGAUAAAGGCGUCUUCUAAAUAAAUAAUAAUAAUAAUAAAGUUAACAUAGGUCCACGAGAUGCGCCUGCAGUUUACCACAUUUGAACUUUUAAGGACACACAUGUAAAUGGGGGUGUGUGGUUUUUAUUUUUUUAAUUAAAAGCUAUUUUCCACUUAGAGCUUGGGCCAAAAACUAAACUAAACCCCUUGGCGUUACUGCAUUAUACACUGCCUGGCUACGUUAUUAGGACCUGUACCUACUAUUGGGUUUUUAAUCAUUUACAUAGUUCUAUCCCGGUUAACAUAUGCAAUAAAUAAAUACAGUAUAAGUAAAAAUAAACGAAAGUGCAGUGCCUCUUUUUACUUGUCCAUGAACUGAAGCACAUCUGCUUGUGUUAUUCACUUUAUAGCUCAGAAGUUAGUGCGUCCAGUGACUCGGGUAUGAAGUAAGAGAGGGACCAGGAGCAUACAUGGAAAACCAGCAGAGCUAUUGGAUGACAACACAGGAUCUGUGCCUAAAGCUUUGGAGUAUCCAAACACAGCAUGUUUUAUUAUACCAUAUUGUAUAGGGAUAGUCAAGGGAGCCUCAUUGUCAGAAUACAAUAUGUGUUGCCAGAGCAGAGGGGGUUUAGAUAAUUUAUUGUCAACUGUAUACAAGUUCCAUACAUUGAAAACUGUACAUUGAGACUUGGGCCAAGGCAGGCAGACAGAUAGACAGACACAAACAUGCAUACAUACAUACAUACAUGCACAGAGUACACCAGUGUUCACACAUUGCUCUACAGAGAAAGUAUGAGGGUGAUUAAUCUUUAUACUCAACUGCAGCUAUGUGUAAAGAUGUUGUAAUAAGUUUUGUGCACUAUUUGUAAAACAUGUUUCUAAAAUCCUAUUAUUCACACGCGAAGUCUCCUCAGUGUGGGUGAAAGCAAUUGAACUGUUCCAUUUUCAUCUGUGGCUUGUCCUUUUCCAUUUAACUCCCAACGUGUUGCGUUCAAACAAGGAGCAGCUUAUCUAGAGUGUACUUCUAUCUGAAGCAUGACUUCUAUUCUGAAGCCCACACUUAAGAUCAAAACCAUUGAGGUCAAUAAAAAAAUCCAUGGAACUGAAGAGGACCAUUGAUAAAGCUGUUCCCUUCCUUCAUUUGUCUUUCUGCUUUUAAAAGGGGAUGGAAAUAUUCUGUACAUUGAAUCCAUGGUCUCCACCUGCUGUGUAGCUGCAUGCUUACAUCAUACAUCUUUUAGAUUUAGUGCUUUACUUACCUCUAUAGUAAAAGUCCUCAUCAAGCGCUCAGUCAUACAAUCUUCUGUAAUAUACAGUAAGGUGUAAUGCAUGGUACAUUCUGAUCAACGCACAAUACUGUACCUUUGUUUAUAAUACAAUCAAGAAAAUACGAGAGAAAAUAUUUCAGAUCCUACUUAAACCUUUGGGGGACUAAGGCCAUGGAUCUGGAGAGCAAAGUGACUGGAAUCAUUGCUUUGGGUGUGGAUUCAGCUGUCCCUGGUGAACAUGCAUCCCUGCAGCAGGAACAGAUACAAGUAUGGCACAACACAUGGCUGAGGAAGAAAACUCAAAAGCUCAGAUUAGAAUGUGAUUUCUUCCAUACCCCAAACUCAUUCUAGUGAUAGUGACAAGUACAGGACACAUGUCUCGAUUGCAUUUCUAUCCUGUAAUUGUGCUUCAUAUUCUAGGCUGUUUGUAUACAAAAUGUCAGUAAAAAGUAUAACAUCGAUCGCCCAACACAUAUAAUCAUGGGACAUGCACAGACUAUAUGACCUUCAUAAAUUACAUGUAAUGCAAUUCUCACAAAAGAUCGAUAGAUACUGGAUGUUAACCAAUGUUCCUUAAUCUUCUCAUCCAGCAAUUAGGAUUUAGUUUUUAGUUUUAGGAAAUAAUUUAAUCUACAACAUCACACAUUUAUCCCAUUUUUGUGUAUGCAGAAAUUAUUUCCCACACUGGAAAAGCAUGUAGACCUCGUUGUGAGCAGCAAUUCAUUUUGGGAAGACUCUUUUCUUUACAGAGACACCAAAGUAAAAUAAAAAUGGCCUUCAUUAUUUUAACCUGACUUCAGACUUGGAAAUGAAUUGCACCCUAGCCACUAACUUGAUAAACUAAGCAUUUACAGCAGCACUUUCCUAGUGGUUAGAAUACUUACCUUCACGUUUCAAUGAAUGACAGCAAGAAAGGGAAGAUUUUCAGAGCAACAAAAAUAAAAGCUUUUAUUUUGUUCAUUUGAAUAUAAAACAGGCGUUAUCACAGAUGUACAAAGCGUAUUGGUGGGUUAACAUACAAGAAAGGGUGCUAUCCUUUUGGCGCAGAAAAAAUAUCUCAAUUUUGAUUGGCUGGGUACAUGAAAUGUCCUUAACCAGUCACCAGACUCAAUGAAAUAACGCUGCUAACAUUCAACUGAUAAAAGGGACCAACCCUUCCUUGGGUAAAGUGUCAAGCAGGAUUAUAUAUAACAAUAAUAAUAACAAUAAUUAUAAUAACAAGCACCAUGAGGAGUCUGUUCCUGUUUUCAAUUGUUUUGUGGUUGUAUGAUUGCAGUGUACUGUACCUUCUAGUUUUUUGGUUUUUUUUGGUACAUGUGAAUUAGUCUGAUCUUUAUUUUUUAUCCUAACUUCAAAAGCACUAAGUCACAACACGAUAAACAUCUUUUUUGUACAUUCUGAUGCAUGGUUUAUCUACAGUACAAAUUCUAAUACAGGACAAUCCUUUAUUGCUAAGCACCUGCACUUGUAAUAGUUGAUCCUUCCACUUUUUUUUUUUUUUUUUUU